GCGGCCGCCUAGUUCCAGCAGCUAAGCCGGCCUGGGGUUGCCUAGUUACUGCCCAGAGAACAAGGAAGAGGUUCUAAAUGCAGGCAGACACUCUGGCAAUCUUCGUCAAACUCUGUGGUGGCGUUGGCGUCCUAGAGCUCCGGAGUUGCUUACCCUUCCUGUAAGGGCAAUCGGACCCUUUCCGGCAUGUGACAUAAUUAUCCCAGCGAUCACUAAAACUGUAAAUUUGGAUGCAAUUAAGAGAGAAAACUCCACACAUUUAUGGAAAUUUAAGUGAUGGAAUGUAAUCCAGAAUGUACUUUUUUAUUUCUGAAAUCUCUGUAAAACAGUACAAUAGAAAAAUAAAAACUAAAGACAUAAUUGAGGAAAUCCAACAUCCCAAAAAAAAAAGGAAUUCUAGAAAGAUUUGCAGCUUCCUGGCUUGCUGAGUGGAAAAUGAUUCUUUCCCAGUUCUCCUUGGUUUCUUCCUUUCAUGAAUUGAUUAACACUGAGAGAUUAUGUUUUAAUUAUGUCGACUAGAGGUUUUAAAUGAUUCUAGGUUUCUGUGUCCAUUUGUUUUCCUAGGUUUGGGGAAUUUGCUACUGCAAUAUCGUUGUGUAGAUAUUCUUUGCUUUAGUGAGAAACUCAGCUCCUUCUACUCUGUGGUUCUUAGCUUUAGUCUAUUGUACACAUCACAGAGUUAAUGAAAGCUGUGGUCAUACUUGAUUUUUUCUUCAUUACUAUUGAAAUAAAGCAUAUCCUUGACCUUGU
ensembl:processed_transcript